rnacentral:rRNA from 1 species
AUUGAACGCUGGCGGCAGGCUUAACACAUGCAAGUCGAGCGGAGAGAGGUAGCUUGCUACUGAUCUUAGCGGCGGACGGGUGAGUAAUGCUCAGGAAUCUGCCUAUUAGUGGGGGACAACAUUUCGAAAGGAAUGCUAAUACCGCAUACGUCCUACGGGAGAAAGCAGGGGAUCUUCGGACCUUGCGCUAAUAGAUGAGCCUAAGUCGGAUUAGCUAGUUGGUGGGGUAAAGGCCUACCAAGGCGACGAUCUGUAGCGGGUCUGAGAGGAUGAUCCGCCACACUGGGACUGAGACACGGCCCAGACUCCUACGGGAGGCAGCAGUGGGGAAUAUUGGACAAUGGGCGCAAGCCUGAUCCAGCCAUGCCGCGUGUGUGAAGAAGGCCUUAUGGUUGUAAAGCACUUUAAGCGAGGAGGAGGCUACCUGGAUUAAUACUCUAGGAUAGUGGACGUUACUCGCAGAAUAAGCACCGGCUAACUCUGUGCCAGCAGCCGCGGUAACAC